rnacentral:rRNA from 1 species
AUUGAACGCUGGCGGCAGGCCUAACACAUGCAAGUCGAGCGGAGCGGCGGAGGGGUGAGUAAUGCCUAGGAAUCUGCCUGGUGGUGGGGGAUAACGUCAGGAAACGGGCGCUAAUACCGCAUACUAUUGGAUUAGCCUAGGUCGGAUUAGGUAGUGGGUGGGGUAAAGGCAUACCAAGGCGACGAUCCGUAACUGGUCUGAGAGGAUGACCAGCCACACUGGAACUGAGACACGGUCCAGACUCCUACGGGAGGCAGCAGUGGGGAAUAUUGGACAAUGGGGGAAAGCCUGAUCCAGCCAUGCCGCGUGUGUGAAGAAGGUCUUCGGAUUGUAAAGCACUUUAAGUUGGGAGGCGUUACCAACAGAAUAAGCACCGGCUAACUCCGUGCCAGCAGCCGCGGUAAUUC